rnacentral:lncRNA from 1 species
GGUCAUUGUAUUGUCGGAGGGACACUGACAAUGCUUAGACCGGUACAUACUGUGUCCGCUUCAAAUGGAAGAAUGGAAAGUCUCAUCCCAUUUGUGUAAUGACACUAAGACAAGUAUGUAGGUGCUCAUUAAGGGAAUGAGUUCACUGAACACAAUCGAACGAGAAUACUUGCAUGGAGGUCUACUCACAUGCCAAGCAAGUAACUUUAAUGGUUGGAAUAAUAUAAGUAGUCCUUUGACCUGAGGCAUCAUCAUUGUCUUGUGGCUAAGUACUUAAUCUUUGAUUAUGUCAAAGUCACCCCAUUCGCGGAUGUCCACGGCAUAAUUGGGGUUAAGCCACUUAGUCAUGAAGGCAAGUGAAUGCGCAACAAGGAAUCUCUAAUCCUUGAUUAGAGAGGAAGAAUACUCUAAGAUAUGAUUCGGGAAUCUUCGGUCGAAGUAUCGAGCGUAAUAAAGGAAAGCGUUCCUAUACGACUCAAUUGAAUCAUAUAAGAAGGAAUAAUCACAUUAGGGGUUUGACAUAAUAUAUCCAUACCCUAGUAAUGUGAUUGAGAGUAUUGUUUUAGAGAAGGAUCGAAUUACAUUGUAAUUCCAACUAAAUAGGUUCUCCGAACAACUUCUACAUUAGCUUGGGUAGCUAUGACAUAUGGUUAGAUGU